CCUACGGGCCGCAGCAGUGGGGAAUAUUGGACAAUGGGCGAAAGCCUGAUCCAGCAAUGCCGCGUGUGUGAAGAAGGUCUUCGGAUUGUAGAGCACUUUCGACGGGGACGAUGAUGACGGUACCCGUAGAAGAAGCCCCGGCUAACUUCGUGCCAGCAGCCGCGGUAAUACGAAGGGGGCUAGCGUUGCUCGGAAUGACUGGGCGUAAAGGGCGCGUAGGCGGUUUAUGCAGUCAGAUGUGAAAUCCCCGGGCUUAACCUGGGAACUGCAUUUGAGACGCAUAGACUAGAGGUCGAGAGAGGGUUGUGGAAUUCCCAGUGUAGAGGUGAAAUUCGUAGAUAUUGGGAAGAACACCGGUGGCGAAGGCAGCUCUCUGGGCCCCUACCGACGCUGGAGUGCGAAAGCAUGGGGAGCGAACGGGAUUAGAUACCCGAGUAGUC
rnacentral:rRNA from 1 species